rnacentral:rRNA from 1 species
GACGAACGCUGGCGGCGUGCUUAACACAUGCAAGUCGAACGGAAAGGCCUGCUUUCCCUUGUGGAUUGCGGGUACUCGAGUGGCGAACGGGUGUGUAUAACGUGAGUGAGCUGCCCCCAAAUUUGGAAGAAGCCUGGGAAACUGGGUCUUAUUCCCUAUAGCACCGCAGGGUGGGUCCGGAGGUGGCAAACGAUUUUCUUGUGGUUGGGGAUGAGCUGUCGGCGUUUGAGGUUGUUGGUGGGGUAGUGGCCGACGAAGAGUGCGACGGGUAGGCGGCCUGGGGUGGUGGGCGUCCACGUUGGGACUGAGAUACGGCCCCGGCUCCUACGGGCGGCAGCAGUGGGGAAUAUUGCGCAGUGAGCGGAAGCCUGAGGCCGCAACGCCGCGUGGGGGAUGCCGGCCUUCGGGUUGUAAACUCCUUGCGACAGCGAGGAAGCCACCUGGUUGGAAGGGUGGUGACGGUAGUGGUAGAAGAAGCACCGGCUAACUACGUG